rnacentral:lncRNA from 1 species
GGAUAUAUUUAAGGGGAGUGUCCGGAGUGAACUGAAGCCAUGCAGGAGUGCCAUGCAGAUGUGGCCAGCUGGUCAGAAAGAAAGAUGAAGAGAGAACCGAGCACGCACCUAUAUUCCUGCAGCACUAAUGCUGACCAGUGGCCCAAUGGAGAAGAAAUGUUGCAAGCCAGACAAACCAGAGGACCACCAGUUCAUUCUCAAGGACACAAAGGUAUCUUCUCUACCCCUUGGAUCCCCAGGGGACCUAAACGCUUGGCUCCGCGUGUGGCUUCACCUCCAACGUGUUAA